CAGGCCUAACACAUGCAAGUCGAGCGAGAAAGCCCUUCGGGGUGAGUACAGCGGCGGACGGGUGAGUAACGCGUAGGAAUCUACCUAGUAGUGGGGGACAACUCGUGGAAACGCGAGCUAAUACCGCAUACGCCCUACGGGGGAAAGCGGGGGAUCUUCGGACCUCGUGCUAUUAGAUGAGCCUGCGUAAGAUUAGCUAGUUGGUGGGGUAAUGGCCUACCAAGGCGACGAUCUUUAGCUGGUCUGAGAGGAUGAUCAGCCACACCGGGACUGAGACACGGCCCGGACUCCUACGGGAGGCAGCAGUCGGGAAUAUUGCGCAAUGGGCGAAAGCCUGACGCAGCCAUGCCGCGUGUGUGAAGAAGGCCCUAGGGUUGUAAAGCACUUUCAAUUGGGAGGAAAAGCUAAUGGUUAAUAGCCAUUAGCCCUGACGUUACCUUUAGAAGAAGCACCGGCUAACUCCGUGCCAGCAGCCGCGGUAAUACGGAGGGUGCAAGCGUUAAUCGGAAUUACUGGGCGUAAAGCGCGCGUAGGCGGUUUUUUAAGUCGGAUGUGAAAGCCCCGGGCUCAACCUGGGAAUUGCAUCCGAUACUGGAUAACUAGAAUGCGGGAGAGGGAGGUAGAAUUCCAUGUGUAGCAGUGAAAUGCGUAGAUAUAUGGAGGAAUACCAGUGGCGAAGGCGGCCUCCUGGCUCGACAUUGACGCUGAGGUGCGAAAGCGUGGGGAGCAAACGGGAUUAGAUACCCCGGU
rnacentral:rRNA from 1 species